GACCCCCUAGCUCAGUGGUAGAGCGUGUGAUUCCAGCCAUUGAAUGGAAGUUCCACAAGGUCAUCCGUUCAACUCGGGUGGGGGUCA